rnacentral:lncRNA from 1 species
GAAUAUGGGGCAGUCACUACAGGAUGUUUGGGAAAAGAGGUCAAGAGGUCAAGAGGAAAGAGGAAACAAUGGGCAAAUUCAUGAAGAGAAAGAAAGAGCAGAGCAGAUCUGUGAAGCACAGAAGCACAUUGUAAGGCAUUCCUCAGCUAAAUGUGAAAGAUUCAGAAUGUUUUGGCAAGAAAGAAACACGAGGAUUGGUAGGAGAGAUAUGGUAACUGUUAGAAAGAAAAGAAAGGAAUGGAAUGAGAAAGCAGCUCUUGAGAGCUCCCAAAAGAUAACAGCUGGUUCAUAUGACAAACUAUCCGGAUCCAGAUGUAUCUCACUCUGCUUUACUAAGUCCAGUUUACAGGGUGGGAGUUCCCAGAAUUCCAGUUAUCAUCACUAGCACUACAUGCUAGUGUGCUGAUGCUUCUUCCAGCUCACUUUUCAGAUCCCCAGUGAAGACCUUGUCUCCUAGACGGCCACCGGGAUAAGACUACAGGAAAAAGAUGAGUCCUCUGCACAAUCUGACUUUGCUGCAGCCUGGAAUUGAACUGCUGGUUUUGUCUGGCCAGAGGAGAACUGGCCCCCUGACUGAGCCUGGUUUCUCCCAAGGGUUUUCUCCAUUCUGUCACUGAUGGAGUUUUGGUUCCUUGCCGCUGUCGCCUCUGGCUUGCUUAGUUGGGGACACUUCAUUUCCAGCGAUAUCGUCGACUUGAUUGCACAGAUACAAUUUAAACUGAACUGAGCUGGAUGAUGACAUCACUGAAUUCAAUGAUGAACGGUCUUUAACUGAAAAAUGAGUGUUUACUAUUGUCACUUUGCAUUGACACACUAUUUUCCUAUUCAAUACUGUAAAGUUGAUUUGGCACAAUCUGUAUUGUUAAAAGCGCUAUAUAAAUAAAGGUGACUUGACUUUACUUUAGAACAGUUGAAUACCUCACAAGGCCUCUCUUAGUGUGAUACUCCCAGAGUUUAGUGCAAUAUCUUAUAAAUUAAUAUUACACAUAAUAUUGUCUCCAACUACAAACCCAU